GCACUUACCUGGCAGGGGCAAUACCAUGAAGAAGGUGGUUUGCCCAAAGUAAGGCCCAGCCAUUGCAUUCCGGCUAUGCUGACCUUUGCAAAUUCUUCAAAUGCAGGAUUCUCGACUGCAUAAUUUCUGAUAGUGGAGGACUGUGUUCGCACUCUCCCCUU